GGGGGUUUAGCUCAGUGGUAGAGCGCUCGGUUUGCAUCCGAGAGGCCGUGGUUUCAAUCACCACAUCCUCCA